rnacentral:lncRNA from 1 species
UCUGGAUUGAAAACAAAUCUAAGAGCACACAUCUUGAUACGUGCAAUCACGUUCAACAGAAACUCGCCCACGUUAGGAUGUAAUCCAGAAUCCUGAAUAGACCUGAACUCGCAACAGACUGGAACGGGAAUAGAGCACCGAGGGCUGUACCCAGGGGCAGGGCAGAAGACCAGCCCACCCGCCCAGGGCCGAAUCACUCACUGGACCCGCCUCAGGUGAAGAAACUGUGCAACAUGCCCAGAUCAUACAACAAGGAAGUAAUGGAAUUGAGAUUCUAUCCUGGGCGCCAAGCCAUUGCUCUAAAUCUCUAUGCUGCACAAGAUACAGCUGAGUAAAGAUUAGUAACAACAAAAAAAAACAACAAAAAAAGACAAGUCCCAGGGAAGGUUCCUGUGAGUCUUUAUGAUCCACUGGCCAUAAAUUAGAGAGAGGCAAUGAAGACUAAAUGCGGAGAGAUCCAGUUUGCUUCCUAGUCUUAGUACAUUGCCAUCUAGGCAUGAGUAGUCUCCUUGUCUCCGUUGUCUGAGAAUGCUAUCCUCUGGCUCUGAGGUCCAGAGCCACUAAGAGAGAAUGCUGACUUGAUGUCAGAAAAUCAAGACAAGGUCUAGUUUAAUUAUGGAACAUGAAACAAAAACUUUACUCCUCUUUUGAAGUAAAAAUGCAAAUCUGUUCCGUUUUAGAGUGGGAUUUCCCUCCUUUGUUAUAUGGCUUUUAAAUUACUCAUGUUCUUUACAAAUCAAAUAAAUAAAAGAUAAAAAGAAAAAUAAAUA